CGUGCGCUAGCGCUCUAUUUGUUGAUACAUGAAUGGUACAUGGAGGCUACAUAGCUAGUCGACUGACUAUUUUUGCAAAGGUCUUUCUUAAAAUAAAAUUUACCUUCCUGUGCUGCCCCUAGCAUUCCUGUGAUUCCACCAGCCAUGACAGGAAUCAUUAGGGAAACUCGACGGCUAGAAACCUGGAC